CCUACGGGUGACAGCAGUGAGGAAUAUUGGUCAAUGGACGAGAGUCUGAACCAGCCAAGUAGCGUGAAGGAUGACUGCCCUAUGGGUUGUAAACUUCUUUUAUAUGGGAAUAAAAUGUUCCACGUGUGGGAUUUUGUAUGUACCAUAUGAAUAAGGAUCGGCUAACUCCGUGCCAGCAGCCGCGGUAAUACGGAGGAUCCGAGCGUUAUCCGGAUUUAUUGGGUUUACAGGGAGCGUAGGUGGAUUGUUAAGUCAGUUGUGAAAGUUUGCGGCUCAACCGUAAAAUUGCAGUUGAAACUGGCAGUCUUGAUUACAGUAGAGGUGGGCGGAAUGCGUGGUGGAGCGGUGAAAUGCUUAGAUAUCACGAAGAACUCCGAUUGCGAAGGCAGUUCACUGGACUGCAACUGACACUGAGGCUCGAAAGUGUGGGUAUCAAACAGGAUUAGAUACCCUUGUAGUC
rnacentral:rRNA from 1 species